AUGGAUCAUCACCCACAGUCCUGGCACGCACACCUGCUCCUCAUGGUCAGGAUGCAGGUGAUGGUGAUAAGAAUGACUGGCCAGGGACUCAGGACUCGGGACUCAGCUCCAGGCUCAGAUAGAUCAAAGCCCUGCCCAGGUAGAAUCUUUUAGACCAGAUGGUUGAACUCGGAUUUCAGUCUUCACCCAGAAGGCCGCCUCCUGCCUCAACUCUCAUUGCAUGGUGAUGAGAUUCUCUUCAGCGCCAUGUUUAAUUCUACUUUGUAUCUGGAAAAGACAUCAUCUGAUGCUGGAAUCACCUCUACCGUGUCGUCUCUAACACCCCUAGUGACGUGAGACCCCUCUCCUCCUCACACAGAGGAUGCAUCCUGUUUUUGUUUUGAAGUGGGACAGCUCGCCUCCCGAAGUGUGCAUCUCUCUGCUCCUGACAGGCCUGAAGCUGCCAGUGUCACCACACACACACGGAGGACAGGUGGCAGGACACAUGUAUGGCCUGAUCAGCAGGUUCCAGCUCCACCCUGCCCUUCAGGCUGACAGACCAGCUCCUCUAAGGUCAGAGCCCAGCAUGCUCAGCUGAGCAGAACAUACGGUCCCUCCUUGGGAGCCUUUGAUAUUCUGGGCUGCAGCUGACUGAAAAGGACCAAAUUAUGACACCUGAUUCUUCAGGUCAGACACACCAAAUGGGGAGACCCAACUGAGACUUCCAGAGGCCUCGAGCAUGAAAAAAGAUUAUGAUUUCUUCCCUGCCAAUAUUUCAAAAUAAUAUACUAACAUGUGACAUAAGUAGACACUAUUUUGGGGCCAUCAACUAUCUGAUGCCAGAGAGCUUCCUUUGCCAUCCAGUUCCACUCCCCACUGCUCUGGGACCUGGGAAGGGAAAUGAACACACUGUUUCAACAAGUUCUCUUGUUCUUGGCUUCUGGUUGGGUUUAGCAAAUGGCAAACAGAGCAGGAGAUGAGAGGGAGGGAGGGAGGAAGGUAGAGUCCUGGGCUGGCUGUGGGUCUCUACCCCCUGCCCUCCCCACCCAGCCCUCUGUGUCUCCAAGUUCACGUUACCUUUCCAGGACCUAGGCCCCUCAGGCCAGGGAGGAAGCGGGGUUGCAGGGCCCUCUGUUAGUAGCCCAAGGACCCUGGACUAUCUUUUGUGGUUUCCCAGCACCUUUGUAACUAGUUCCCUUAUUAAACUCAACUUUGCUCAAUUCCAUUGUGUCACCUAUUUCCUGCUCGGACUUAAAUAAUGUCAAAUUAUUUCAAAAAUGUUUCCUUUGAUGCCCCAACUUUGUUGAUGUCUUCAGAACACCCUGAGCUUUUUUCUUAGUCAUCCAGUGCAUCCAGCGAGGGCCAGCCUAUAAUGCAAACAGAUCUGGAAGCUCCCAGGCUGGAGCCGCUACCCCUACAUCAUACACUGUUCAUGGGGGCAGAGGCCCUAAGGUGCACAG
rnacentral:lncRNA from 1 species